UACGUAGGGUGCAAGCGUUGUCCGGAAUUAUUGGGCGUAAAGAGCUCGUAGGCGGUUUGUCGCGUCUGCUGUGAAAAUCCAGGGCUUAACCCUGGACCUGCAGUGGGUACGGGCAGACUAGAGUGCGGUAGGGGAGAUCGGAAUUCCUGGUGUAGCGGUGAAAUGCGCAGAUAUCAGGAGGAACACCGGUGGCGAAGGCGGGUCUCUGGACAGUUCCUGACGCUGAGGCACGAAGGUCAGGGGAGCAAACGGG
rnacentral:rRNA from 1 species